AGAGUUUGAUCAUGGCUCAGAUUGAACGCUGGCGGCAGGCCUAACACAUGCAAGUCGAGCGGUAGCACAGAGAGCUUGCUCUCGGGUGACGAGCGGCGGACGGGUGAGUAAUGUCUGGGAAACUGCCUGAUGGAGGGGGAUAACUACUGGAAACGGUAGCUAAUACCGCAUAAUGUCGCAAGACCAAAGUGGGGGACCUUCGGGCCUCAUGCCAUCAGAUGUGCCCAGAUGGGAUUAGCUAGUAGGUGAGGUAACGGCUCACCUAGGCGACGAUCCCUAGCUGGUCUGAGAGGAUGACCAGCCACACUGGAACUGAGACACGGUCCAGACUCCUACGGGAGGCAGCAGUGGGGAAUAUUGCACAAUGGGCGCAAGCCUGAUGCAGCCAUGCCGCGUGUGUGAAGAAGGCCUUCGGGUUGUAAAGCACUUUCAGCGGGGAGGAAGGCGNCGAUUGACGUUACCCGCAGAAGAAGCACCGGCUAACUCCGUGCCAGCAGCCGCGGUAAUACGGAGGGUGCAAGCGUUAAUCGGAAUUACUGGGCGUAAAGCGCACGCAGGCGGUCUGUCAAGUCGGAUGUGAAAUCCCCGGGCUCAACCUGGGAACUGCAUUCGAAACUGGCAGGCUAGAGUCUUGUAGAGGGGGGUAGAAUUCCAGGUGUAGCGGUGAAAUGCGUAGAGAUCUGGAGGAAUACCGGUGGCGAAGGCGGCCCCCUGGACAAAGACUGACGCUCAGGUGCGAAAGCGUGGGGAGCAAACAGGAUUAGAUACCCUGGUAGUCCACGCCGUAAACGAUGUCGAUUUGGAGGUUGUGCCCUUGAGGCGUGGCUUCCGGAGCUAACGCGUUAAAUCGACCGCCUGGGGAGUACGGCCGCAAGGUUAAAACUCAAAUGAAUUGACGGGGGCCCGCACAAGCGGUGGAGCAUGUGGUUUAAUUCGAUGCAACGCGAAGAACCUUACCUGGUCUUGACAUCCACAGAACUUUCCAGAGAUGGAUUGGUGCCUUCGGGAACUGUGAGACAGGUGCUGCAUGGCUGUCGUCAGCUCGUGUUGUGAAAUGUUGGGUUAAGUCCCGCAACGAGCGCAACCCUUAUCCUUUGUUGCCAGCGGUUNGGCCGGGAACUCAAAGGAGACUGCCAGUGAUAAACUGGAGGAAGGUGGGGAUGACGUCAAGUCAUCAUGGCCCUUACGACCAGGGCUACACACGUGCUACAAUGGCAUAUACAAAGAGAAGCGACCUCGCGAGAGCAAGCGGACCUCAUAAAGUAUGUCGUAGUCCGGAUUGGAGUCUGCAACUCGACUCCAUGAAGUCGGAAUCGCUAGUAAUCGUAGAUCAGAAUGCUACGGUGAAUACGUUCCCGGGCCUUGUACACACCGCCCGUCACACCAUGGGAGUGGGUUGCAAAAGAAGUAGGUAGCUUAACCUUCGGGAGGGCGCUUACCACUUUGUGAUUCAUGACUGGGGUGAAGUCGUAACAAGGUAACCGUAGGGGAACCUGCGGUUGGAUCACCU
rnacentral:rRNA from 1 species